UUUUUUUUUUUUGUGGGGGGGUGGGGGGUGGGGUAAAUAGACAAGUUUAAUUUUAUGUUUGCUAUGGAGGUUUUGAUUUGUUUAAUUCGCUAGAUACAUCCAAUUUAAUACAAAUUGUUCAGUUUUGUAUAAAUUCAUUUAUACAUUGUAAUUUGUAUAAUAAAAUCUGUAUUUGUAUAAUUAAAAGUGUACAGGACGAAAAUAUAUGUAUUUGUAUAUACAUUUUUCUCUCGCUUUAUACAAACACAAACACAAACACAUUUUUAUACAUUUUUAUACCGAAAAUGUAUAAAUGACUAAUUGUAUACCGAAUCAGAUGACAAAAAAAUGGAAUGUUUGCUGCGAAUUACAAAUAAAAUAAACUAUGACUAUAACAUUUAAUUUAAAUUAAUAAUUUGCUAUUUCAUACAAUUUUUCCAUAUAUUAUUGGGCUACUUUGCCAAUACAGAUCCAGGCCCAACAAUAGAAUACCCGAAUUGUUAAUGUUUGCAUAAUUUUGUCACCCUCUUAAUGGACACAUUGUAGUAUUUCUAUAAUAGGGACAUUUUUUUUAUUAAAUUAUUGAUGGUAUGAGCAAUUUAAAAGCAAAUUAUUAAUUUGAAGUAUUUUUAUUCAAUUUUACAUAGUUUAAAAAUAUUUAUUUUACCUUUUUCGAUUUAUUUUUUAUUUUUAUUUUAUAAAGUAAAUAGUUUCUUUUUAAUUUGUUGUUGUUAUUUAUUGGGUAAACCAUCUAAAUGGUCAUACAUUCAUAUCAUAUAUAUAUAUAUACAAAUUUUACCUAUGCUUUCAAAUGAUAAUUACCUAGCAUUUCACUAUUUAAGAAUUUUCUAUCAUAAUUUAGUUGAGAUGCAUGGAGAUACAUCACUCCCUAAAAAACAGUCUAGAAUGAUAAAAUAUAAUUAUUAGCAACGGUGAUCAUAAUUCUAUUCUUCUUGAUUAUUAUAUUUCAAGGUGCGAUUCGAUGGAGUUUUUGCCAGAGUUGAAGGUCUUUGACCGGAGAGGAGAGGAGACAAAUUGGAGAGGAGCAGAGAUGGUGAUCAAAAUAUGUAUUUGAUAAAUUAUACACAUGUAUCUAAUUAAGAGUUUAUGUAUCUGCUUAAGUUGAUAAGUUUGGGAAAAUUGUAUAUAAUAACAAACUAUUAAUUCAAAUUAAAUGCUAUAAACAUAGUUUGAUUUAAUUGUACCUCAUAGCAAACUGUUGCUAUUUUUGCCUCUCUCCCUGAUGGAAUCUCGCUCGCCACUCUCGUUUUGCACUACCAGUCUCGCUCGCCUCUCUCGCUUUUAUACCAACACAAAUGUAUAAAAUGCAUUUGUGUUUGUAUAAAGCGAGAGAAAAUUAUAUAUAUACAUAUAUUUUCGUUCCCCUGUCUCCCCUCUCCCAGAUCUCGCUCGCCACUCUCCAGAUCUCGCUCGCCACUAUCACUCGCCUCUCCGAUCAUUUUAUACAAACACAAAUGUAUACAUUGCGUUUGUGUUUGUAUAAAGAGAGAGAAAAUUGUAUUUACAAAUAGAAAUGAUAUAUUUUCGUCUUAUACACUUAUGAUAAUACAAAUAUGAUCUUCUCCUGCCCAGUUUUCUUUUGUCUUUCUCUCUUUCUCGCUUUAUACGAGAUAGAUUAUACAAUUGAUUCUUUUGUAUAUGUAUGCCGAAACAGAUUAUACAAUUGCUUCUUUUGUAUAUAUGUAUAGCGAAAUAGCCAUAGCUUUCAUUUGUAUAUGUAUAGCGAAAUAUACAUAUUUAUGUUUGCUAUGGAGCGCAAUUAUGCAGAUUAUAGCUAUAGCAUACAAAUUUGAUUUUUGUGUUUACUAUAUGUGAAAGUUGCUCAUAAAUUUUAGCUUAUAAAUGAUAUAUAUAUAUAUAUCUAAGAUACAUGUGUCAUUGUAAUUUCAUAAACAAUCUCAUGUCCAUUUUGUUUCAUAUCUCCAUUAGAGUUGAAUUUCCUUCAAUUGUGUAUCUGAUCUCUAUACCUUUUCGAUAUUGAUCAAUUUGUUGAAAUGGCUUCAACGAGAUCGUUGUAAGUAGCACUAUUCUUGAGAAUGAUUCCAUCAAUUUCAAUUCAUCAUAAAUAUCAUCAAUAAGGCCAAGUUUUGGAAUAUCUCAACAAAAAAGUGAUAUUUUUUUUGAACAAAAAAAGUUCAAAUUAUUGAAGAAGAAUUAAGGAGGAGUGUAAGUUUGUUGAAUCUCCCAAAAAAAAUGGAAAGAUUUCGAUUUUUUUCUACGAUGCGCCAGAAUAUUGCAAAGUUAUUGCAAGCAUGAUUUUCAACUCAAUUUAGGGCUUUCAAUUACAUCCCUUAAUUAGUUAGACUUAAUGACAUGUAUAUUACUAGUGAUUACGAUAUAUUUUGAAUACAUGUAUUUGAAAGCGACAAAAUGUAUGUAUUUGGGAUGGGAAACUAUGAUACGAUCCAAUUAUGCAAACGGAAGGGAAGGAAAGUAAUUAGGUAUUAAAUUGGUGGUAUUUGUGUUGUCAUACGCUUAUUUAUUUAGACCUCCAUUUAAACUUAAAGGUUCUUACUGAAAAGACUUUAUGUAACUAGAUUUGUAUCACUCUUAAUUGGUUUGUAAUGAUGCAUAAUUUUAGAUAAAUAAAUUUUAUUUGAGUUAAGAAAAGGAGGUUCUUAUUAUUAAGACAACUUAAAUUCUGAAAUCUAAAAUAGAAGAUACACUUAGCAACAAGUAAACUUAGUAUAUACUACACUCAUAUUGCCUAAUUUUUAGUCAGAGCUCUCAAAUCAUCUAGUUGAAGUUUAAUCACAAAAUAAGCAUACAAGCCAACUAUCAUCCACUAAAAGGCGAAAAAUCAAAUUAUGAUAUGCCAAAAUAGAAUAAAAGAAUAUAAAAGUAUACCCCCACUCAAAUGUAUACAAAAGUUUUUUUUUAUUACAUAGGUUGUCAGAUUGGAUCCAUAUACAUUCAAAUCAAAUGAAUAUGCUUUGAUAAUUCAUCCCAAAAAUGUACUCAACAACCAAGAAAACACAUGGGCCUAAGGUUUGUGGAGAGAAUGGUUUUGGCCCAUCCCCAUGGAUCCUAUGCUUUCAUCAAAUUAAGUCCGAUAACGUGGCAUAAGUGCAGAACACAUAUACCCAAAAGUAGGCCCAAUUAACUUGACUUGACCCUAGGGGUGGGCACGAUACAAUAUAGUAUUGAAAAGUUUGAUUCGAUAAUUUUAGUUUAUGAUUUUUGAAUAUCUAUACUAUAGUCUUAUUAUAUCAAAUUAAUUUAGUAUGAUUCAGUAUUUUAGUCGAUUUCAAUAUUUACGGUACGAUAAACCAAUUACUCCAAGUUUUCAACUUAUAUAUACUAGUAGAGUAAUAAAAAAUUAUGACUUUGAUUUUCAAGAAACAUCUCAAUUAUAUCAUACUAAGACCUUAUACAUGUAAAAGUAUUUAAUAAAGUACAUACAAUUUUCUUGUUAAUCAAUCACCCAAAAAGAACAUUUAAAUCAAGAUAGAGUAAUCGAAAUUUCAACAUCUAAAUUAGUUACUAUUAUUUUGUAUAUUUGCUAGUAUUAUAUAUAUAUAUAUAUAUGAAUUUAUAUGUAGCUAUAUAUUUUGGUAUGGUAUUCGAUAUUUCGGUAUUUCUUUUAUAAAUAACAAAUGCCAUACGAAAAACCAAACUUUUAAAAAUGAAUACCAAAUAUCAUAAAACCCAAACCAUGUGUUAAAAUUUUAGAGAUUUCGCUAUGAUAUUCGAUAUCUAGCCUACCAUGCCCACCCAACCCCAAUAUAUCAAAUCUUAACACCAUAAGGUACUACUUACCUGUUGAGGUACCCUUAUCUGUUUUUUUUUUUUUAAAAAAAUAAACUUAUAUAUGAGUAUAUAUUAAGAAAAAAUAAUCAGUACUCAAUACGAAACACCACCAAAUUUAAGUUAAUGAUAUGGGUAGUUAGUUGGUUCAUUAUGAUGUUUACUUAGUAACUACUGCCAAAUUUGGAUAAGAUCACAAAUAAGGAAAAAGAGGAUUUAUUCAUUAUCUCACAAGAUGCAUUAAAACCUCACAAAACAAUGGGGGAUUUAAUGCAUCUACAGUUACCUCUCGACUCCAAAUUGAUUUGUGUGGAAGCAAAUCAAUUUAGACCAGGGUAUAUUGGUAGCUGUACAUAUUAUAUUCACUUACUAUAUCUACAUCCAAGAAGAACUGAUUGCUCGAAGCUAAAAUGGCGCAACUGUUCUGAUUUCUCCGUUGCUAGUCAUCCAUGGGUGCCCUGUUUGUCAACACCACAUUUACACAAUUUAGUACUCACAGUACUUAAUUACCAAAAAAGAAGAAGUAAUCAAUGGGUAAAGUAUCAAUUUCACUCUUUAAAAGAAGGAUAAAUUAGAUUUAUCUGAAUAUUAAUUAAUACUAAUUCAUGAUUAUUGUAUUUUUUUAAUUUAUUUUUUUGAAAAUUUGGUCAAGAGUUGAGUGAAAAAAUCAUACUGAGAACUUGUUCAGCAGAGAAUCUUCUAGAAACGUCUUUAGAGAGCAUUCUCCGAAGCAAAUCCUUCGCCGCCGGCGAAACUGAAUGGAAGAUCCUAGACGGAAACCUAAGGUUAGCUCUGAGCACAGCCUCGAAGAUCUCUGUAGCCGAGUCACCAAAGAAAGGUGGAACUCCGGCAAGCAUUAUAUACAGAAUAACACCAGCACUCCAAAUAUCGAUCUUCUCACUGUAGUUUCUCCCAGCUAAAACCUCUGGCGCCACAUAAUACGGCGUUCCAACCACGCCGCUCAUCAGCUGUCCCUCAUGGAAACACUCCGCCGAUCCAAAAUCAGCCAAUUUCAGUUCGUUCGAGUCGGUAAAUAAAAUGUUAUCCGGCUUGAUAUCCCUGUGGGCUACACCGAGACGGUGACAGUGCGCUAUUGCUUUCAUUAGUGAUACCUAUACAAACAUUAAGCAGAAAAAUUAUCAGACAUGACGAAAAACUAAAAUAAAAGCCGAUUAUGAAUUCUACUUCGCUUAGCUUCACAAUUUACUUUCUCCUCCAAUUUUCGAAAAUUCAACAAGGUGCUGCUUCGUAGAUCGUUCCUGAUUCAAGCCAUUUUACGAAGCAAAAGUAAAAUUUCCCCAUUUCGAUCAGCAACGAGUGAGAUUUUGGUGAUCUGGAAGAGUACCAUGACAUCAACAGCUUCGGACUCUGAGAAAACCGGUUGACUACUGAGGCGUUGGAACAAAUCGCCGGAGUUGCAGAGCUCUAGAACCAUAUCAAGGUGAGUAUCGUCCUCGUAGAUAUCGAAAACACGAACAACAUAAGGAUUGGGCGAAAGCAAGUGCAUAAUUUUCGCUUCGUUGUAAAGACAUUGUCGAUCUAUGGCGUCAUCGGCGAUUAGGCGCUUGUCGAUAGACUUGACGGCGAAUGACUCACCGGUCGCCGGCGAGUAACACUUGAAAACGGUGCCGAAUCGUCCCCUUCCUAACUCUUCACCCACACAAUAAUUUCGCUUCAGUGACUCACUCAUUCCGUAUGUUUUGUUUUUUUCUCUACUUUUCUGACUCCUAUUUUUUUCGUUUAGAAGCGUUGGUUUUAUAGAGUAAUAGAGAGGGAGUAGAAUUUUAUGGAAGAAUAUUCGGUGGAGAGCAUUGGGCCAAUGAUAUACAGCCGUUUGGAGGUAUUAAGGGGUCGUUUGGUAGCUGUAUAACGUUUGAUUAAUACGAUGUUUGAUUGACAAUUUAGAAAUCCGUAUAAUUAAUACUAUAUGUUUAAGUUUUGAGUUAUGACUGAAUCAAUAUAUUAUUUUUUGCCGAACAUGAAAUAACUAAUGCAUAAAUAACUUAUUUUUACGUAACUAAUACUUGUAUAUAAUAAUACAUAAACUCACUCAUAAUAAAAUACUAUAUAAAUUCACAUAAUUAAUUUUUAUAUCAUUAACACAUAACUUUAAACUCGUUACCAAACAAACACCUAACGGUUAUGGUAGAAUUUGUUGCCUCUCAAGGAAGAUUAUAAUAUUAUGAGUUUGUUUGACAUUACUGCUAAAAAUUAUUUAUUUGUAGAAGUGAUCUUUAGAAUAGUUUUUUAAAAAAAGAAGUGUUUUUGAAAUAAAAUAAUUUGUGUUUGACUAAUUCAUUUUAAAAGUGUUUCCGAUAAACAAUUUGUAUUUGACUAAUCUUUUCUAAAAAGAAUUUUUGAGAGUCUACUUAUGAAAAAUAAGUAUCAGUGCACUUUUAAUAUAUAGAGAGAAAUUAUGUUAAAUAUCGAUUAUAAAAUUUUAAAUUAACAUUUAUUAUUAAAAUGUACAUACUCAAAUUGUCAAUCAAUAUUAUACAUACAUAAAUAAAAAAUAAAUUUAAUAUUAAUAUAAUAUUAACAUGAUGAUUUAAAAUAUAAUUAAAAACACCAAGCAAAAUAAAUUUGAAAACCAUUCCACAAGUUAAGUCACUCCAUAAAAAGAAUUUCACCACAAAAAUAAAUAAAUAUAAAAUAUAUAUUGGUAAAUACUAUGACGUAUGACAGAGAUAUUUUGGUGUUGAAAAAUAUAAUUUCCUGCUUUUAAGAAAUAGAAAUUUUUAUCUUCUUCCAAUAAGCAGAGAGAUUGUUUCUACUUCUAUUUAAAAGCAUAUUUAGGUCGUUUGAUAGUGUUAGGAAAAUAAUGCAUGCAUUCAGGGGCUGGCCCACGUUGUUGCAACUGGGUUCAGUUAAACCCACUUUGUUUCGAAAUCCACCAUAUAUGUAAGGAAAAUUACUGUGAAAUUUGAUGUAAUUAACAACUUGAAUCCACAUAAUACAAAGAUUUAUUGUGGAACGAUGGUUCAAGUUCAUGUUGGAUACUUAGGUUUGAAUCCCCUUUAAGCGUUUUAUGUUUUUGUUUUUUGGAAAUGCGUUAGCGAGGCAUCAAUAUUUAUACUUAUUAGUUAUUGUAUUUAAAUAUUUAUAUUAGUAGUUAGCUCAUAAAUUAUUAUAUUUAUAUUAUUAUUUUUUAAAAUAUAUUUCACCUUGUAUAUUUUGUAUUUUAAUACCCAAAUUCAAUAAAUUCAUAUAAUCUUGCUACUUUAAUAUAUAUUUAUUUUUUUGUUAAUGGAAUUUUGAUACCCUCUUUCAUAGAUUUUUGCUAAAACAUGCAACUAUUUUCGUUGAAAUUUUAUAUAGUUUAUUCAUUUACUUUGAUUUAGCUAAAUAAACGUAAAUAUUAUUUUUUUUGUAAAUUUUCAAAAAAAAAUCUCUACUUCAUUAAAUAGAAAAAGUGUUGAGUUGUAAAAAAAAAAACAAAUAAAAGAUAACAAGCAAAUAGUUUGUUGGGCUAAAACACUAUUAAUUAAUUGAACCCACUUAUACAAAAUACUAGGUCCGCCACGGUAUGCAUUAGCCUUGUAUAUUACUAGGAUUUUUUUUGGUACUCUUUUCCAACCUAUGUUUAACUAAUGCUUGCAUUAGUUAUACACUCUAUUAUGUAUUAAGGUGUGUAUUGCUAAUACGAUGAAUUUCUAGGCAUUAGCAAUGCAAUGAUUUUAAUGCAUGCAUUAGCAUGAUUAAAGACCCAAUUGCCCCUCAAAACCUUUUUUACAUCUUUUCUGCCAUAAUAGUGGAGGGUAUCUAAUUUGUAAAUUAAUUUUUUUAUGCAAUGCAUGCUAUUUUUUAAAUGCAUCAAACCAAAUAAUACAUAAAAAUAAUCUAUGUAUAACAACUAAUGCAAGCAUAACUAAUACGUACAUUGUUAAUGCAAGCAUUACUAAUACACUCUAUUUAACAUUAUUCUUAUACACAUACCUUAAUUUUUAGAAUAGAUAUUUUCUCUUAAAAUAAAUACUUUUGACCUCCCAAACACUCUUCGAACAUCAUAGUAUCAUCAUACUAUCAUCGAUUUCCUCUUUUUUAGGCAAUUUGUUGAGUAACAAACACUCUUCGUUACCAAUUUGUACUUACUCUUCGCACUGACUUAGCUAUUGAAUAAGUAAUAUACACGAGACAUUCAAUUCGAGCUAUUCUUGAAUUUCAAUUUCAAUUUUCGCAUAAAAAAAUUGGUAUAUUUCACAUAUUUUUAAAUUUAGAUCAUAAAAAUGAAGAGUCUUUUUUUAUUUUUUAAACUCUAUACCAAAUCAAAAUAGGUCAAAUUAAAUAUAUUAAAACAAAAAAGUAUAUAUGUAUUAGAUUUGGUACUUUUAUUGAAAAAGAUGUUAUAAUGAAAUUUAUAAGAGAUCAAGAAUAAGCGUCUUAAUUUAACUCAUUAGAUUCGAUUAUUAACAAUUGAAAUGCUUUUAUUUGAAAAGUUUGAGGCACAAGAAAAUAAGUGUUAUCGUAUUCUUGAAAUCAGAAUGCUCUACAUUUGUGUAAAAACUAUUAUCCUUAGAUUAUAAAGGAUCAAAUUAACCAAUAAAAAAACUACACUUGAGCCCUAAACAUACUACAACCAAUGUGGAAAUGUUAUUAGUAAUGCCGUCAAUAAAUAUAUAAUUAUAUAAUAUUUAUACAAUAGAAUGUAUGUGCUUUGUAAUUUUUAUAAUAUAAAUUAUACAUCUCAUAUACAAAUCACAUACAAUACAUUACAAGUAAGAACAUUUACAUCAAAUACAAAGAAUAUAUAGUUAUAUAAUAUGUAUGCACUUUACAUAAUAUAAAAGUUGAUUGAUAAAUAAAGUAUGGUUUAUAAUUAAAGAACAUAUACAUAAAAUAUAAUUGCUAUUGUACUUACAAAAAUUUAAAUUCACAAAUAUACCAUCGAUAUAGUUCAAAAUAUAUUUUUUAAUAUAUCAACACCCAUGAUAAAACAUAAAUUAAAUAGUAGUAGUAAAAUAUCUUUAAAUUGACAUUAAAUGUUUUAAUUUGCCCUAUUUUUCAAUGGGAUGAAAUUAUGUGAGAAGGCCAACAUGAAACGUAAUAAUUUUCUACAUGGAAGAAUUUUGUACGAUGGAAAUGAAAUAUUACCUAAAAUAAGGCCUAAAAUAUGGAAGUAUAUUAUAACUCAACGGAUUUUCUAUUAUGAAGUAACAGACAAAUGAUAAUCCAAAUUACAUAAAAAUAUUACAUAAAUUAAAGUCACAAAAUUUGGGGAAAGCCAAUUAUUAGCUAAAAAGGGUAAGAAAAAUGGUGUAGAAUUGUUUUAAAAUGAGUUAUAAAAACAAAAUAAAUCUAUUGUAUCUAAUAUAUAUUAGGGGCACUAGAGGUGGGCAUAGUGGUAUGGAAUGGUAUUAGAAAUUUUGAUACCGUAAUUUACAAUAAUCCAUUUUUAAAACUAUUAUAUUAUUAUCAUAUCAAUUUAAUUUGCUAUAGCUUGAUAUUUUACGGUAUGAUAAAUCGAUAAUCAUAAUUUAUACAACUUCAAUUAAUAUAUACUCAUAUAAUAGAUUAUUAUGACUUUGACAAUUCAAAAAAAAAAUCUCAAUUGAAUCAGACUAACACAUUAUAUAUAUAUUCAAAAGAAAGUACAAGCAACUCCUUUUGUUAAUCAAUUACAUUUAGGUACAUUUCAAUCAAAAUAGAUUAGUCAAAGUUUUAACUUCUAAACAUUUAGGGGUCGCUUGGUCUGAAAAUGAGUUAUGAUGGAAUAAGUUAUGUUGGGAUUAGUAAUGAUGGGAUAAGUUGUGCUGAGAUUAUUUCUUAUUAAGUGUUUGGUUUGUUGUAUUCAAAAUAAUAUAUAUUAAUAAAAUUUAAGAACAAGUUGUUUGUUUACAAAAUUACCCUUCACUUUUAUUUAAUUUUUUAAAUUUUCUUUGCGAGCUUUAGUUAUUUAUUUUAUUUAACAUAAAUGUUUUUGUUUAUGUACUCCCAUGAUAAGUACCAUGUGUAAUUUAAAAAUAUUAACUUUUUUUUAUUUAGCUUAAAAAUAAAACUUCUCUAUUUAGUUUGUUAAAGAGAAGAAAAGUUAUGAGAAAUCAAAAUAAAAUAAACAUAAGAAUUAGUCAAAUAAAAAUUAUAUUUAUAUAGUGUAAUUUUUUAAUAGAAAAAUAUUGAAUGAUUAUCAUAAAAAUAAGAAGUAGUAAAUAUUAUUAUACAUGAUAUUAAAAAUAAUGUAAAUAUAAAUAAAUGUGAAAUGAUGUAUAAAAGGAUUUAAAGGGAUAUAUUUGUCACUUACCUAUUUUAUCCCGGGAUAAGAUAUCCCGGGAUUACUAUACCACCCAAUAUGAGGGAUAACUUAUCUCGGUACUAAUUCAUAAUCCUGGGAUAAGUUAUCCCAAACUUUCCAACCAAACAAGAAAAUAAAGGGCACAUAAAAUUUAUCCCGGGAUUAACUUCCCUAAUCCAUUACACCAAAUGACCCCUUAGUUUAUACUAAUACUAGGUUACAUAUUUUUUUAGUAUUUUAAUAAUAUAUAUAUAUAUAUAUAUAUGUGUGUGUGUGUGUGUGUGUUAUUUAUGUAACUAUAUACUUCGGUAUGGUGUUCAAUAUUUCGAUAUGUUGUUUCUAAAUAUCAAAUAUCAUACCGAAUACCAAAAAGCUUUAAAAAUAUACCAUAUAUCAUACAAAAUACCAUAAUAUCAAAUCACAAUAUCAAUUUUUUUGAUAUGAUAUAACAAUUCGGUAUAUACCAUACUAUGCCCACUCCUAUAAGCAUGUAAUCUAAUCAAUUGUUCUAUAAUUAACUUUAUGAUAGCUUUGAGAAUCAUUACGUUAAAGAGUUAAAUUUCAUCCAUUAAACUAGGGGUGUACAUGACCAUGCUGGUUCGGGUUUUUCAAAUAUCAAAUCAAAUCAGUUGUGUCAAAAUUUUAAAUUUAUAAGUCAAACAAACUAAUAAAACUCAAAUUUUCCAACCUCAGAUUUUUUUCGGGUUGGUUUGGCUUUUUCAAAUACCAAACCAAACCAUUUGUGUCGAAUUUUGAAAAUUCUAAAUCAAACUAAACUAAUAAACAUAAGAUUUUUUCAGGCUUUUUGAUUUUUCCGGUAAAGUAUUCAUAUAAGCAUAUGAUUAACUUGUGCUCCAAAUAUUUCUACCAAAAUACAACUAUCUAAAGUGUUUCUUAAGAAAAAUAACACAAAAUAUGAGAUGAGUGAUGACACUAAAAUAUUCAAUGAAAAAUAAUAAUGAAAUCACAUAAAAUAAAUAUUGCAAAUUGAUAAGUCAUAAUGAAAAUUAUCAUAAUUUAAAAGUACUAAAUCAUGCUAAAAUAAUUCUAAUAAAUAUUAAUUACCGAUUAAACAUUAAGGAAAAAUUAAAAUUAGGUUAUCUAUUUUAAAUGUCUAAACCAAUGUAAAACUAAAGAACAACUAUUCAACAUUAUUGUCAUUCUUACUGUUGAAUUGAUUUAUUUUGUUAGCAUUAGUAUUGAUUUGAUUUAGAAUUGUAGGAAAGGGCGGAAAUAUAGUCCAAUGCCGUGAAGGCGAUAAUGUCUUACGAUCUGGAGAUAUCCAUAUUAAUCAUAUUAUGGAGCGAAGAUUCAAACCCUAAAUUGAGAGUCACGGGCCAAGACUCCAACAGGACCUGGUGCGCUAGGACUCCUGAGUUGGUGAUAUGUCACUAGGCAACACAUUACACAUUAGCAGAUGGAUGCUAUAAAUUCCUCCAAAAAAUCUUAUAAUAUUGUGCAACCAUACAAUAUACUCUAAAUUCUCGUUGUCGAGGGAAGUGAAUCAACAAAUGCAUGAAAGGACGGAUGUAUGAGAAUAUUUUGUGUGCUACUUCUGAUGAUGCAUGCAUUGGGGAUAAGUACAUGUCAGUUCCGUAGAUCAACACUUUUUAUAGACUUACUUUUAUUGGACCAUUCAAAAUUUUAAGUCUCAAAAAACUUUAAAAAAUAUGUUAAAAGAUAAAAAUUAUGAAAACGUACAAGUAAUAUUUAGAAAUCACAUUAAAGUAAAUACUUUUAUAUAUAAAAUAAAAUUUAAAAAGUAUAUAUAUAAUGCCGGAUUGACUUCUUUAGUUAAAACCAAACCAACCCAAGUAUAGUCGGGAUUUUUCUUUUUCCGAUAGCAAAUUAAGUCAAAUCAAACUAUUAGUCAAAUUUUUUUGAUUUGAUUCGAUUUACGAUUUGGUUCAAUUUUCAUUUCGAUUUCGUACAACUAUACAUUAAACAUUAGUGAUAAAACAGAUUUAAAUGAAUGAAUUAACAAAUUGAUUGUGCCUAAUUCGAGCGGAAAAAGAUUGGUAAAGUACAAUUACGUGAAGUAAUGUUAUUGCCUUGUAGAUUUACAUCACAUGUUUCAUAAAAGAAUGAUUGAGAUCCAUUUCAAAUUCAUGUACUAGUAAAUUUAAAAAAAUGACAAAAUGCAUUAAUGACAGUUGUUUGAUUAUACAAAAUAAAAUAAUUAAAAAUGGAUAUAAUAUAAAUUUUAUAAAAUAACCGGUCAAAUCGUACUCAUAACAGUUGUUAGUGCAUUUUUUUUUUAAUGAAUAUAUGGAUUGAAAGAAAUUUCAAACAUAAUUUAUUUGAUGGUACACAUGGAAUAGACCUAUAAUUAGACCAUUUCCAAUCCGUCUCUAUUUUACUCUUCAUUUGUAGAAAUCUCACGUCUAGAAUUAGAGAGAUCAAGGAUUAUAUUGAUGAAAAUAAUAUUGAGUUACAAGCUCCUUAUAUAGGAGAAAAGUCCUAUUCUAGUUAUACUAGGAAUCCUACUACAACACAACUAUUUUCAUAAGUAGUAUUGUAUUAUAACUCUAAUACCUUAUCCUAGUCGACUCCUGCAAUAUAGAGUAGCUUAGUCGUACAUAACUUAGGAUUUAGUAGUCUAGUCCUAGUAUGACUCUAACUCUAACUCUAAUUCGUCAGCCUGCUUCGAUGGACAUGCUCCUUCGACAUGUUCCAUUAGUCUUCAAGCUUCCUUCAACACUUCCCCUCAAGCUAGUGAGUGGAGGAACGGUAACUCCUAGCUUGCUGCGAAAACCAGAGAAAACCUGUUUUGUUAAGGCUUUGGUAUGAAUAUUAGCUAGCUGAUCCUUAGACUUCACAAAAUGAGUAAGAAGUUGUCCCCUAGCCACUUUCUCACAAACAAAAUGAUAGUCCAUUUCAACAUGUUUGGUUUGAGCAUGCAUAACUGGAUUAACCGUCAUGUACAAGGCACUCAUGUUAUCACAAUACAACGUAGGAACAGAUCGAAGGAACACUCCAAGGUCAUGAAAAAGAUACACAAUCCAAGUCAUUUCUGCAGCAGUGGAGGCUAGUGCUCUAUACUCAGCUUCAACACUCGAUCGGGCUACUGUGGUCUGUUUCUUGGAGGUCCAAGAAAUACAAUUUGCACCUAGGUAGAUGCUAUAGCCUGUAGUUGAUCUCCUAGUGGUGGUACAACCACCCCAAUCAGCAUCUGAGUAGCCAUACAGCCUAUAUGGUGACUGUGAAAUAAUUUUGAGUCCAAAAUGUAGAGUACCUUUUAUGUACCUGAGAAUCCUUUUUACCCCUGGAAGGUGUUCAGUGUUUGGGCUUUGCAUAAACUGGCUAGCUAAAUCUACGACAUGAGUGAUAUUAGGUCUUGUGAGGGUAAAAUACUGAAGGCUCCCUACUAUGAUCUGUACAAGGAGGCAUCUACAAGACUUCCCACAGCUUCAUGCAAACUAUGCUUUUGCGCCAAAGGAGUGGCUACAACUUUUGACAAACUCAUCUCUAUCUUGGCCAGCAACUCAGCAGCAUACUUGCUUUGAUUUAAGUGAAUUCCUCCUUCGAAAUACUUCACCUCAACUCCUAGAAAGAAGUGUAAAGGGCCAAGAUCUUUCAUAGCAAACUCCUUCCCAAGUUGGAGAACUAACUCUGAGACAUGAGAUGGAUUACUUCCCGUGACAAUAAUAUCAUCCACAUAUAACAAGAGAAAUAUUUUGCCUUUGUGAGUAUGCAAAGUAAAUAAGAAAGGGUCAGCCUUACUACAAAUGAAACCAAGGUGUAAGAGAUGCAUGCUAAACCUAUCAAACCAGGCUCUUGGUGCUUGUUUAAGACCAUACAAUGCCUUUUUAAGUAGACACAUAUGAUGAGGAUAUUGGGGAUCAAUAAAACCAGGAGGUUGACUCAUGUACACCUCCUCUUGUAAGAAGCCAUGGAGAAAGACAUUUUUGACAUCUAGUUGUCUAACUUCCCACUUUAAAGUAAUAGCAAUUGAUAGAACCACCCUAAUAGUUGUGGCUUUAACCACAUGACUAAAUGUUUCUUCAAAAUCUAUCCCUUCAAGCUGCGAGAAUCCCCUUGCCACAAGUUUGACCUUGUAUCUAUCUACUGUCCCAUCAACUUUUAACUUUGUCUUGAACACCUAUUUUGAGUCAAUCAAAUUUAUACCAGGAGAUUUGGGCACCAAAAUCCAUGUCUUGUUAGUAUGUAAAACAUCAAUUUCUUCCUGCAUUCUUGCAAGCCAAUGAGGUGACCUUAGUGCUUCCUUAGUAGUAUUUGGUUCUCUCAAAAAAUUUGUGCUACUGCGAGCAACAAGUGACAAGUGAUGUUCCUUCGCCUUGUGCCUAGUGAUCAUAUGAUGCCCUUGUGGUGCGGGAAGUACCUUAACUGGUACAUCAACCAAAGUAGUUGACUGGAGUGUAACAUUGUCAGAUUGAUGGUCAACUGGUACAUCAACUAAGUAGUUGUUUGAUGAUGCUCAUUGGCUGGACCUGUAAGUGCAACCUGUUCCUCACUGCUACUAGCAGAUCCAAAAUCUGCAGCUGGAGUUUCAAUACUACUGUAUGGAGCAUCACCUUCAACCUGUUCCUCAGCAUCUGUUUCUGCGCCUGAGAGGUCAAUAGUACUCUCAUCAUCAAGGAGUAUAUGAGUUGUAGCAACAUUAUCUAACGUGUGGACUAGCAGCCUGUAGUUCCCCUGAAUCAUAAUUAUCAUGUGCCUGCAGUUUAGAGAAAGAUUCAACAAAUGUAGCAAGAUGAGGUGAGACAUCAACGUUAGUCUGAGAUUGCUUUGGAGACGCAUAGGGUAAUGUGUUUUCAUCAAACACAACAUGUCUGGAUAUGUAAACCCUUAGGGGGAUGAUAACAUCUAUAUCCUUUGUGUAAGCUGUUGUACCCUAUGAACACACAAAGGUAGGUCUUUGGACUGAACUUGUUGUUACUCUUGAUAUAUGGGAAACAUCUACACCCAAACACUUUUAGGCUGUUAUAAUCAGGUUGUUCCCCGUACAACUUAACAAAUGGAGUCACCAUCUUUAGGACUGAGGAGGGCAGUCUAUUGAUGAGAAAUAUUGCAGUGAGGAAAGCCUCAACCUAAAGAAACAAAGGUAGAUUAGCAUAAAGUAGUAAAGUUAAGCCAGUCUUCACAAUAUGCCUAUGUUUUCUCUCUGCAACUCCAUUUUGUUCAGGUGUGUUAGGACAUGAAAUAUGUCUCACAAUGCCACAAUCUUCCAAAUGCUUAAUGAAGUCUGUUUGGAUAAACUCACCACCUCCUGCCUCCAUCACACUGAAAAAUCUUAUUUUCUUUAGAAAAUUGUUUUUCCACAAUUUUUUGGAAUUUUAGAAAGACCUCAAAGAAUUCAGAUUUCUUUUUCAGUGGAUAAAUCCAUGUAUAUCUCGUGUGAUCAUCAACAAAAACGACAUAAUAUUUCAUAUGUUGGGAAGAUCCGACAGGAGCAGGUCUCCAUAAAUCACAAUGGAUUUUCAAUAAAGGUUCUUUCUCAAUAUAAUUUCUCAAACCAAAUGGAAGUUUACAACUCUUUCCNNNNNNNNNNNNNNNNNNNNNNNNNNNNNNNNNNNNNNNNNNNNNNNNNNUGACAACUAGAACAAACAGUAGGCAUUUUAUUCCAACUACUAAUAUUGAUGCAGCUAUUACUAUUCAAAACUAUUAAAGACUUUAAACUAGGGUGUCCUAAUCUAGUAUGCCACAUGUUGUCUGACGUGUUCCAAUCGUAUGCAGCAGUCAAAGCAUAAAGAUUGUUAUCUUCCAAAGCAUAGAGUCCAUUCCUUUUAAAUCCCUUGGCCAGUAGUGUCCUUGUCUUCUUGUCCUUUAUAACAAAGUUAGUUUCAUCAAAUUCAAGAGUUCAACAAUUAUCCUUUGCAAGCUUACUAACUGAGAGUAAAUUUUUAUUAAUCUUAGGGACUACAAGAACUUCUUUUAACUUUAGACCUGAUCUGGAUAUGUUUCCAACAUGUGUUAUGUCUAACUUUGAUCCAUUCCCAAUAAUGAUUUUAUCUGGUCCAUUAUAGUGUUUAAGAUCAGUUAGUAUACCUGAGUUAUGUGUCAUAUGGCUACUUGCUCCUGAGUCCACAUAUAAGGUGUCAUCAGUGUUUUGUAGAUUAGUAGCAGACAAUGCUUGUGGUAGCUCAUCUGUAGUUUGGUAAGAGAAAUCCCACCUGUAAAAACACUUAAGAGCAGUAUGGUUAUUCCUACCACAAAUUUGACACGCAUCAAUAUUGUUCCUCUCAUGACUUCCACUUGAAGAACUGUUCUGAGGACCUGGUCCGUUUCUGCUGUUAUAAGAACCUGUUCCUUGUCCAGCAAGCUUAAAGCCUUUUCCUCUAGAAUUGAAAUUAUUGUUUCCUAUUCUUUGAGAGUAGUUUUCUCUUCCCCUGCCCCUUUUGGGCAGAGAAUACCACGUUAUGGUUUUGUUGGGGCACUUCUUCUUCAUAUUCCCUCGUAAGAAAACCCUUGAGAGCAUUAACAAAUUGAUUAAAAAUAAGAUAUGGUGCCUUACCUAGCAUGANNNNNNNNAAGGUCUUGUACUUAAGACCUAGACCUCUAGCAAAAUUAAUCACUUUGCUAUCUUCAUCUACGGGCUUGUGAAUGGUUGUAAGGCCAUCACAUAUGCCUUUGAAUUCCUUAAUAUAUUCGUCAAUUGUUUUGGUUCCUAGCUUCACACUUUGCAGUUGUUGUUUGAGCUUGAACUCCUUAUCUUUUGUUGCUUGAAGAUAGGCUUCUUCCAAGCAUUCCCACAUCUCCUUGGCAGUUGAGCAGCCUACGAUCAAGUACAUGUUUUCUUCUGUCAAGGUGCCUGAGAUCCAACUCCUUAGCAACACAUCAUUCUCCUCACAGUCAUCAACAAUGUUGCUGUCGUCUGCACCCUUUUCGCCUGCUACAACUUUCUCAGUAGUCUGUCCAGUGGAACAGGUAUCUUUAGGUGGUUCUGUGAUGAGGUAGGUUAAUCUCAUCACUUGAAUCAACUGAGACAUUUUUGUCCUCCAUAUAGGAUAGUUCGUUGGCUUAAGUUUAAUGGAGCACGACGAAAUAAGAUGAUGAAGUAAAGAGGUCGAAAGAGUGUUGGUAGAAGGGGCCAUUGCGGUUUGAUUUUGUGGUUGUUUUGAUUUUGAUUUAAUACGUUAAAGAGCAGAAAAGCUUUAUUGCUGUGAUACCAUGUAGAAAUCUCACGUCUAGGAUUAGAGAAAUCAAGGAUUGUAUUGAUGAAAAUAAUAUUGAGUUACAAGCUCCUUAUAUAGGAGAAGAGUCAUAUUCUAGUUAUACUAGGAAUCCUACUACAACACAACUAUUUAUAUGAGUAGUAUUGUAUUAUAACUCUAAUACCUUAUCCUAGUCGACUCCUGCAAUAUAGAGUAGCUUAGUCAUACAUAACUUAGGAUUUAGUAGUCUAGUCUAGUAUGAGUCUAACUCUAACUCGUCAGCCUGCUUCGAUGGACCUGUUCCUUUGACAUGUUCCAUCAGUCUUCAAGCUUCCUUCAACACCAUUCUCUAUAUUUGGAGAGUAAAAUAGAGAACAUGUUCUCCAAUCACUCUCUAGUUCACUCUAUAUUCUUCAAUUAUAGAGAAGUGAAUAGUAGAUCUCCAAAUUUGGAGAACUACAAUUCACCUCUCUAUUUUACUUUUUGAUUAUUUUAAUAUUAUUUCUAUUAUAUUACUAUUUAAGUCUUUAUCAUUUGUAAUUAUUUUCUAAUGUAAUACAACAUCUAAAAAUAUAUUAUUAACAAGUUACUACUUCCACCCAAAUUAAUAAUUUUUCUAUUUUAUUUUUUAAAAAGAAAUGGUCACUUCAAAUAUGUAAUUUAAAGUUAUUUUAAUAUUAUUUAUAUUAUAUAAGAUUAUUAAUUAAGUAUCUAAUAUUUAUAAUUAUUUUCUAAUUAAUAUAACAUCUAGAACAUAUUAUUGAUAAGUAUACUACUUNNNNNNNNNNNNNNNNNNNNNNNNNNNNNNNNNNNNNNNNNNNNNNNNNNNNNNNNNNNNNNNNNNNNNNNNNNNNNNNNNNNNNNNNNNNNNNNNNNNNNNNNNNNNNNNNNNNNNNNNNNNNNNNNNNNNNNNNNNNNNNNNNNNNNNNNNNNNNNNNNNNNNNNNNNNNNNNNNNNNNNNNNNNNNNNNNNNNNNCAACAUCUAAAAAUAUAUUAUUAACAAGUUACUACUUCCACCCAAAUUAAUAAUUUUACUAUUUUAUUUUUUUAAAGGAAAUGGUCACUUCAAAUGAUUUGAAUUGUUCGUUAAUAUGUAUUAUAUAUAAUAUUUAUUGCAAUUUAUGUUAUUUAGAAAUUUUGAAUAAAAUAUAAUUUUAUAUUAAAUGAAGAAUUUGAAAAAUAAUAAAAUGUUAUAUUACAUAAAGAUUAUAGAGUGAUUAUUUGCAAAAAGAAGAAAUGAUUUAUAUUAUGAAAUAAGAAAAUAAGAAUGAAAUAGAAAUAAUAAUAUAAUAUAGAGGAGAGAGAAAAAUAUUCUUUUUUAGAGAAUAAAAUAGAGAAUUUGAUUGGAGUUAAUUGUCUGAAAAAAUAGGAAACUCUAUAUUUGGAGAGUAAAAUAGAUGACAGGGUUGGAGAUGCCCUAAGCUUUUCAAAAAUAUUGACGAUGGUGUAUCGGAUCCUCCAAAAAUAAUGUAUUAUUCAAAAGUCUAAUAUGAAUACGAUAUCAUUUUCUGAGAAUCCGAACGACUUUGCUUCAACCCACUUAAAGUCUUGAAUGGUAAAUUAUUAAUAUGUGAUCGGGUGUUGUCUAAUUUUCUUGUCAGUAUUGUUAAUAUUACUUUCUUACUAUUUUAUUGUCUUAUUUUAGAUUUUUAGUACGUAUUACAUAUUGCUUCCUUUGCUUUAAUUAUCAUAUUAUUUAUUAAUGAUAUUUGUUCUCUUCUUAAUUGUUUUCAACAUUACUUUACUGACUACUAUGUUUGCUUUACAUAUUUUAUUUUUGAUACUUGAAUUGAGGGUGUUUAUCGGAAACACCUUCCCAUACAUUACAAGAUAGAAGCAAGACUACGUAUACAUCAUUCUUCUCAUACUGCAGUUAUGAAGUUAUAUUAACGUGCAUGGUUGUAGUUUAAAGUCCAGAGAAGCAAUUAAGGGGUUGAAUUAUUUUUAUAGAAUUUGCUUGUUUGAUUAGUAAAUUUCUUAAUUAUUCACUAUAAGAGAUUUUAUUAGAGUGCUAUAAUUAGUGGUAAAAUAAGAAGUUAAAGACAAUAGAUUAAGGGGCGUUUGUUGGCUAUAAUCACGGAACUGCCAAAUUUGAAGUUCCGUACUUAUUGGGUAUGUUCGUCUUAUUGAUUAAAAUCCUAUUUGUAAGCUAAUUUAGAAAGUUUACAAAUUACUAUUAAAUUAAAUUAGCUAUACGUACUUGGUUGUUUUAUUAUAUUUUACUUGACAAUAUUAUUGUAUAGUAAAUGUAUGUUAUUUAUAUGUUUAAUGUAUCAAUGAAUAUACAAAACACAUACAAAGGUCAAAAUUCGGAUGACUAAUUAACUCAUAAAUACUUAUUUCAAACGUCAAUAAUGUUGUUGUUACCCUAAAUUUAUAAGGACGGAUACUAUUGUAUCCUCUUCUUCUAAGUUUGUAUUUAUGUACAAAUACACUUGAUACAUUAGUGUAUAUUUGAAAUUGAAUACACUUGUAAAAAUUGAUACUAAAUAUACAAAUACAUGAAACUAUGAAACACAAAUACAUUGUAAAACAUAUAUACAAAAAAGGAGAGGAACAUAAGAGGAAGAGAAGCGAGAGAGAGAAAGUAUAUGUUAUUUUCGAGACUAUCGCUUCGUUGAGUAAUUAGCAACUAUACUAUCCUCCCAUGUAUUUUUUGAAGUGGGCUCUUAGGCCUGCUUUGUGGUCCAUGUACUGACUGGCCCACUUCUCUUAUCGAAACCCUUUGAGAAGUUAUAAAGCCAAAAUUUCAGUCCAAUUAGCCUUUGAUUGCUCUCAACGGUUAGCAAAAGGAGGAUUUUGGAAGCUAUUGGGGAACAAAAUUGCUUUUGCUAGUGAAAUGUGAUUUGGUUUCCCACAAACCUAAAGUGACAUCAACCAUUAGUUUACUCCAUAAUGAUUAAUAACACAAUAAAAUACCUCCUCAUCCAUAUCUGAAUCUAAAUCCAACUAAUCCAGAUUCAUCUUUAGUAGCUCACUAAAGGAGGGUGCAUCUUAUAAAAAAUUCAGUCAUUCAUUUUCAAGAGUUGAAUUCAAGAUUUUCGUUAAAGGAUUAGAUGAGUCUAAAUUGUUGAAAGUUUUGAAAAUUACACGAAAUAAAAUUACUAGUGGAAUAGUGUUAAACAUUUUGAACAUUUCUAAAUAGAAAUAAAUAUCUUAUAAGAUAUACAGAGACCAUAUAAAAUGUAUCUUGGGAGUAACUCAGUCCCUAAGAUUAGAUAAUAAGGGAAGGAUUUUCCAUGACAAAAGAUCACCCAUCUCGUUUUCAUUUGAUGUGGAACUCUUCGACAAUAUCACAUAAAGUAUAACCAUAGUAAUCCCCUAUUAAAUAAUAAAUUCUAUCAUGCAAUUAUUGAAGAAAAUUUACAAUUAUUACAAUAUUACUCAUUACAAACAUAAAGGCUAAAAUAUCAAAUAUGCUAAACGCUUAAACCUAAUGUCAUACCUAGAAUAUAUAUAUAUAUAUACACUCAACAUGAUAUUUCCGAUAGGAAGAGCAUCAUGAAGAGUAAAUAAUAUAAUAUUUAUGUAUUUUUCAUGUCAUGUACGAUAAGAGAAAAGAUACAAAAGGGGCAUUAUAUUAUUGAGAAGGAAAGUUCCUUCGAGCUUCUUUUUGUUCUUUGUGACUAUAUAUAUAUUAGUUGAAUGACUACUUAUCACUUAAAAUAUUAUUUCAUGAGAAUAUUAACAAGAAACAAAAUUUCUUCUAUUAGUCCAUAAUUUAGGUGCUCAUUACAAUAGUCACUACUUUGAAGAAAAAUAAAAGUCUGUUAUUAAUCUUAUUUAACGACGGAAUAGUGACAAAUUCUAUCCAGAAAUUGGCAAGCUUUUUUGUGAUAUGCAGGCAGCAAAUAUAUUUUACACCAUAAGCAACUGAUCAGUUAUUCUACUAAUAUUUUGAAUGGUCCUUAGACUGUAUAGAACAUCAAAUCUCUUCAAAUGAAAAUAAAUAAAAGGGGACCAUUUCAAGAAGUGUAAAAAGUGUCAUCCACCAGAAAUUUUGUUUUCAUUAGAUAAAAUUUACAUUUGGAGAAAGUUUUUUUGAGUGCCUUUUGGUGUAAGCAAAUGGUUUAGGGAAAUGUUUGGCUUAUUUUCAUUAUAAUAUAAAAGAAGAUAAUUUAGGUUCAAGGACAAAGUGAGGUACAAAAGCAAGGACAAUCACAUAUAUAAAAGAAGUAGAUAUAAUGACAAAGUUUGGCUGGAGCAAAGACAAUAUUAUAUUGUUUGGUACCAAAAUUAAACAUUUACAUGUGCAAUAACAUCAAUUGCUGGACCAAUACUGUCGUCUUCUUCUUUUCUUUUCAUUUCAUUCCACUGUGCAAAGAAAUAAAUUUUGGCUAGUUGGCUAAAAAUUGAAAUUUUCCUAGUGAAAAGAAUACCUUAGAAAAACUCAUCAUCAAAAAAUAAAAACAUUAGAUCAUUUUAGUAUCUUGCCAUUAUUAUUUUUUUGAGUAAAAAAAAAGAAAGAAAAGAUUGUGUCCAAACAGGCACUAGUGUAUAACGAAAAUAAUCAAUGUAUAAUGUAUACCUCAUAAUAUCAACGCACAUAUAGAUACAACAAAUACAAUCACCUAAUACCUCAAAAAAAUAUGGAAAUAUAGAGAAAAAAGGGCUGAAAUACAAAAUAAAAAGAGGAGAAAAUAUGGAAUAGAAAGAGAGUUCAGAGAGUUGUAGCUAUAAAUCUCUAAUUAUGCCAAAUGAGCCAUUUAUGGAAUUUCCUUUAAAAAAAAAUAAAAAAAUCCUAUUUUGAUAUGCACUUGGAUUUUGAACAUGCAAUCUGUUUCUACAGCUAUAAAAUUAUAUUACUAGUAAAAAUAAGAUGAGAAGUUUAAAGCUAAAAUGAAAAGAGUGAUAUAAAAUGAGACUCAAAAAUACACAUAUUUUACCUCUCAACAUUCAAACAACAAUAGAAUAUUUAACAUUAAAAUUGAAAAAGGAAGAAUAAUAUGAAUAAAGACCAUCACACACUCUGGAAGAGAAACAUAAGAUCCAGGAUUUUAAACAUUUGUUUCCUGUAUCAGACUGCACCAAAAAAAGUUCUAUGAAUAGAAAACCAAAAGGGUUAGAAAAACUAUUU
rnacentral:lncRNA from 1 species